GUCGCCUGUAGCCCUGUGGCAGCCAGACACUCACCCCACCUAUUUGAAAAGAGCAGAGAUCCAGGAGAGACAAACCAAUCUCUGAGAGAAAUAAGAGAUGCCUGAAGGGAAGCAAGAAUGGAGAGCAUCCUUAAAAUGACUGAUUUACAAUUGGUCUCAUGAGACUUCUUCAGGCUCUCUUCUUGUUUGCUGCUGUACAUCUGGAGUGAGAGCCAUGCAGAGACAAGAUGGCAGGUG